rnacentral:misc_RNA from 1 species
AAUUCUCAACCCUUCCAGCAUUUGUGUUGGCUUGAGGUUGGAUGUGGAGGUAUUGCCGGACCCUUUCUAUGGGGUCGGCUCCUCUGAAAUGUAUUAGCGGAACUGUCUGCGAUCCGUCACAGGUGUGAUAAUUAUUUAUGCCAGUGGAUUGCUUUCUCUUAGUUCAGCUGCCAACCGUCCACAAAGGACAACAUUACUGAAU